UGAUGAAAGUUUUCUUCUAAGAGAGAAGAGAAAGCCUUCCUCCCACCUCUAUGGAGAGUGCUCUGUUAUAUGGGACUUUGGCUUCUGUGGGAAGGGUGCAGCUAUGUCCUGAGACCUGAGGUGAAGUCACUGCAGAGGAUUCUUCUGAACACUCGGCCUGAAGGUUCUGGUAAGAAGAAGCACAUCCAAAGGCAAUCUUUAAAGGCAGUAAGGUGUGACGCUCCAGACUGGCAGCUUGGCAAGAUGCAGCCCAUGGAUACCAGCACACGGGAAUCUGGACCGUUCACUCUGACAGCAGUCAGCACUGGGAACAAAAGGAACGGAGCGGGAGAAAAAGCGCAAAUGUAUUUUUACAUAUUGUAGGCAUAUGGCCACAAGACCAGCAGAAAUAUAUUUAAUUACCAAUUGCGUACAUUCACGAGAAAAACAGCGGGAAGGAAAAAAAAACUGUGUACGCAGGCUAUUAUUCUACUUUAACUUUUCACCUCAUUUUUGUUGUUUGUUUGUUUUGGUUUGAUUUUUUUUAGACAAAGAUAAAAGGGAUGUGGGUUAGAAUUACUAAGGGUUAUCUGCUGUAAUCCUACCAAAGGUGAUACAGAUUUUGUUUGAUGUGCUUUUCUGAAUAGCAUAACUUUACAUAUGGAAAUAUAAAAGUUUUUAAAAAUUAUUUUAAUUAGAAAAUAACUUUAUGAAGUAUUUUGAGGGGUCUAGGGAAGCCUAUGUGAAAUACAACAAUUAGACAAUCUUACUGUCCUGUUAAAAUUAUACUUCUGAUGUUAAACAUUCGUUUAGGCCUUAACAAGGAAAACACCACCUUUGAAAAUUUAUAGUUUUGUUUUUUCUUAUAAAAUCAGAACAGUUCUUAAUUGCCCACUUCUUGGCCAGCAGGCACUGUGCUAGGCAGUGGAGGGGCAAGGAUGAACCA